GGGGAAUCUUGCACAAUGGGGGCAACCCUGAUGCAGCGACGCCGCGUGAGCGAUGAAGCCCUUCGGGGCGUAAAGCUCUUUCGACCGGAACGAUAAUGACGGUACCGGGAGAAGAAGCUGCGGCUAACUACGUGCCAGCAGCCGCGGUAAUACGUAGGCAGCAAGCGUUGUUCGGAGUUACUGGGCGUAAAGAGUGCGUAGGCGGUUUUCUAAGUUCGGUGUGAAAUCUCCCGGCUUAACUGGGAGGGUGCGCCGAAGACUGGGAAGCUGGAGUGUGGGAAAGGCAGGCGGAAUUCCUGGUGUAGCGGUGAAAUGCGUAGAUAUCAGGAGGAACACCGGCGGUGUAGACGGCUUGCUAGACCAUGACUGACGCUGAGGCACGAAAGCGUGGGUAGCAAACA
rnacentral:rRNA from 1 species